rnacentral:rRNA from 1 species
UACGUAGGGUGCAGGCGUUAAUCGGAAUUACUGGGCGUAAAGCGCGUGUAGGCGGCUUGUUAAGUUGGUCGUGAAAGCCCAUGGCUCAACCAUGGAAGUGCAACCAAAACUGGCAAGCUUGAGUUCUGAAGAGGAUGGCGGAAUUCCCAGUGUAGAGGUGAAAUUCGUAGAUAUUGGGAGGAACAUCGGUGGCGAAGGCGGCCAUCUGGGAAGCGACUGACGCUGAGACGCGAAAGCGUGGGUAGCAAACAGG